rnacentral:rRNA from 1 species
AAAUAAUGCUGGGGUACGAUGCGGAGCGAAAUUUAGUAGCGAAGUAGCUGAUUUCACACUGUCGAGAAAAGUCUCUAUCGAGGUUAAAGGUGCCUGUACCGCAAACCGACACAGGUGGGUGAGGAGAGUAUCCUAAGGCCAGCGAGAGAACUGUUGUUAAGGAACUCGGCAAAAUGACCCCGUAACUUAGGGAGAAGGGGUGCCUUCGAAAGAAGGCCGCAGAGAAUAGGCCCAAGCGACUGUUUACCAAAAACAUAGGUUUCUGCUAAGUCGCAAGACGAUGUAUAGGAGCUGACGCCUGCCCGGUGCUGGAAGGUUAAGGGGAUCUGUUAGAGCAAUCGAAGCAGUGAACUUAAGCCCCAGUAAACGGCGGCCGUAACAAUAACGGUCCUAAGGUAGUGAAAUUCCUUGUCGGGUAAGUUCCGACCCGCACGAAAGGCGUAACGAUUUGGGCACUGUCUCAACAACAGACUCGGUGAAAUUGUAAUACCGGUGAAGAUGCCGGUUACCUGCGACAGGACGGAAAGACCCCAUGGAGCUUUACUGUAGCUUGACAUUGAGUCUCGGUGCUACAUGUACAGGAUAGGUGGGAGACUAUGAAGCAUGGACGUCAGUCUGUGUGGAGUCAUCCUUGGGAUACCACCCUUGUAGUACUGGGAUUCUAACCAGAGGCCAUGAAUCUGGUCUUGGGACACUGUCAGGUGGACAGUUUGACUGGGGCGGUCGCCUCCCAAAAAGUAACGGAGGCGCCCAAAGGUUCUCUCAGUACGGUCGGAAAUCGUACGAAGAGUGUAAAGGCAAAAGAGAGCUUGAUUGCAAGACAUACAGGUCGAGCAAGGACGAAAGUCGGACUUAGUGAUCCGGUGGUUCCGCAUGGAAGGGCCAUCGCUCAACGGAUAAAAGCUACCCUGGGGAUAACAGGCUGAUCUCCCCCAAGAGUCCACAUCGACGGGGAGGUUUGGCACCUCGAUGUCGGCUCAUCACAUCCUGGGGCUGUAGUAGGUCCCAAGGGUUGGGCUGUUCGCCCAUUAAAGUGGUACGCGAGCUGGGUUCAGAACGUCGUGGGACAGUUCGGUCCCUAUCCGUCGCAGGCGUAGGAAAUUUGAGGAGACCUGUCCUUAGUACGAGAGGACCGGGAUGGACGUACCGCUGGUGUACCAGAUGUUCUGCCAAGGGCAUGGCUGGGUAGCUAAGUACGGAAAGGAUAAGCGCUGAAAGCAUCUAAGCGCGAAGCCCACUUCAAGAUAAGAUUUCCCACCGCAAGGUUAAGAUCCCAGGAAGACUACCUGGUUGAUAGGUCAGAGGUGUAAGUACAGUAAUGUAUUUAGCUUACUGAUACUAAUAGAUCGAGGACUUGAUC